rnacentral:rRNA from 1 species
AAGGCUAAAUACUCCUGACUGACCGAUAGUGAACCAGUACCGUGAGGGAAAGGCGAAAAGAACCCCGGCGAGGGGAGUGAAAAAGAACCUGAAACCGUGUACGUACAAGCAGUGGGAGCCCCACCACCAAAGCAUUCUCUGGUGUUGAAGGCCCUGCAAAGCAGCAUCGCGGUGGCGGAGCGUCGUUUGCGACGCCCAACACACAAAACAAGCGGUGAGUGCUUUGGGGUGGGGUGACUGCGUACCUUUUGUAUAAUGGGUCAGCGACUUAUAUUCUGUAGCAAGGUUAACCGUAUAGGGGAGCCGCAGGGAAACCGAGUCUUAACCGGGCGUUAAGUUGCAGGGUAUAGACCCGAAACC